AGGAUUUGGAGUAAGGACACUUGCUAAGAGGAAGCUAUUUGUUCAUGUGUAUAUUCAGCUGGGUGAUUCCCUUCCGAUGAUUGGUCCCCUCCCUACUUCCUGGAUCCCAUCGAAGCUACCAAUCGGGAGUCUCCAAUCAAGCCAGCUGCACAUAAAUAGCGUGUGUGUCCACAGUUCGGGGCGGCUGUGAACCAGUGAGCAGUCCGCCUCUUUGUUGGUUUCUACCUCUUGUGGUUGCUUAGGGAAUUACAGUUUUGAUAUCGUUGUAUUGCCUGGCUGUGGUUGAGUGGUUUCAGCCAGUGUUUUUGUUAACCUUGUGUAGCUUCUUUUGUUAUAAUUCUGUGUGCAUGUGCACUCUUUUCAGUUGAUUAAACCCCCGAUUUUGACCCG